UUGGUACUUGUACCGACUGGAUGAGCAGCGAACGGGUGAGUAACGCGUGGGGAAUCUGCCUUUGAGCGGGGGACAACAUUUGGAAACGAAUGCUAAUACCACAUAAAAACUUUAAACACAAGUUUUAAGUUUGAAAGAUGCAAUUGCAUCACUCAAAGAUGAUCCCGCGUUGUAUUAGCUAGUUGGUGAGGUAAAGGCUCACCAAGGCGAUGAUACAUAGCCGACCUGAGAGGGUGAUCGGCCACAUUGGGACUGAGACACGGCCCAAACUCCUACGGGAGGCAGCAGUAGGGAAUCUUCGGCAAUGGACGAAAGUCUGACCGAGCAACGCCGCGUGAGUGAAGAAGGUUUUCGGAUCGUAAAACUCUGUUGGUAGAGAAGAACGUUGGUGAGAGUGGAAAGCUCAUCAAGUGACGGUAACUACCCAGAAAGGGACGGCUAACUACGUGCCAGCAGCCGCGGUAAUACGUAGGUCCCGAGCGUUGUCCGGAUUUAUUGGGCGUAAAGCGAGCGCAGGUGGUUUAUUAAGUCUGGUGUAAAAGGCAGUGGCUCAACCAUUGUAUGCAUUGGAAACUGGUAGACUUGAGUGCAGGAGAGGAGAGUGGAAUUCCAUGUGUAGCGGUGAAAUGCGUAGAUAUAUGGAGGAACACCGGUGGCGAAAGCGGCUCUCUGGCCUGUAACUGACACUGAGGCU
rnacentral:rRNA from 1 species